rnacentral:lncRNA from 1 species
GGCCUCAGACCGCAGCGUCGGCCGAGAGGACGCCGGGAUACUGGCCAGCUCCAAGUCGAAAGGAAGCGACGCAUGAGUUGUUUGGUGCGAAUUUUAAACGGAAGAACGCAGAAGAAUUCUCUUUAUGUUACCUUUAUUUAGCAACAAAUCAACUUGACUCAACUGAUACUUACUGAGUGCCUUUAAAGGCCAUAGACUCUCCAACUCCUGCAACUGUCUGGAAUUUCUUCUCUCUCCAAUCCAUCUCUAGUAUUGAUGACAUAGAUACUGAGUUUACUACAAAUGGAAGGUUUGAGGCAACCUUGAUGGAGCAAGUGUAUGGGUGCCAUGUUUUUCCAACAUCAUGUGCUCACUUUGUGUCUCUGACAUAUUUUGGUAAUUCCCACAAUAUUUCAAACUUUUUCAUUAUUUUUGUAUCUGUUAGAGUGAUCUGUGUGAUCACUGAUCUUUGAUGUCACUACUGUAAUUGUUUUGGGGGACCACAGAUCAUGCUCAUACAUUAUAAAAUGGCGAACUGAAUCUGUUACAGGUAGUUAGGCAUGAGCAAGGCAGGAGAGGGCUCUCCCCUGCCACCCACCCACUAGAAAUGUUGGGUGAUGGUUCAGCAAUUAUCACAUGGCCUCUCUAAAAAUGAAAAUUUGGCAGCGCCAGGGAAAGGCCAUUUCCUGAUGGCCCACACCUGUUAACAUCAAAAUGUUAAUUGAAUGCAGGCCCCAGAGAGAAGCAACUUCCUGGGCAUGCCGGUUAAGAGACAAAAGUGAUGAAGUAUGAUUUUUCUGAUACACUCCACCGGAAAAAGGAAGAAAGCCUCAGAUGGGCAUGUGUAUAAAUCCAUAAAAUCACUGUGUGUGCUCACUUCCCAAGGGUAAAGAGGGCUCUGAGCAUGCAGGGAGCCCAUCCUAAGAUCAUGGUUAAAUGCGGCACUUGACCUUCUCUCUCUCUCUCUCCUUUUCUUUUUCUUUUUUUUUUGAGACGGAGUCUCACUCUGUCGCCCAGG